rnacentral:rRNA from 1 species
ACUCAAAUGAAUUGACGGGGGCCCGCACAAGCAGCGGAGCGUGUGGUUUAAUUCGAGGCUACACGAAGAACCUUACCUGGGUUUGACAUCACCCUAGUAGGUGGCGGAAACGUCACCGACCGCAAGGAGGGGUGACAGGUGCUGCAUGGCUGUCGUCAGCUCGUGCCGUGAGGUGUUAGGUUAAGUCCUGUAACGAGCGCAACCCCCGGCUCCAGUUAGAUAGUCUGGAGCAACUGCCCGUGACAAGCGGGAGGAAGGUGGGGAUGACGUCAAGUCAGCAUGGCCUUUAUAUCCAGGGCUACACACACGCUACAAUGGUCGGUACAAUCGGUUGCCAAGCCGCAAGGCGGAGCUAAUCCAUCAAAGCCGACCCCAGUUCAGAUUGUGGGCUGCAACCCGCCCACAUGAAGUCGGAGUUGCUAGUAACCGCGCGUCAGCCAUAGUGCGGUGAAUACGUUCCCGGGCCUUGUACACACCGCCCGU